rnacentral:rRNA from 1 species
UAGCAUAUCAAUAAGCGGAGGAAAAGAAACCAACAGGGAUUGCCUCAGUAACGGCGAGUGAAGCGGCAACAGCUCAAAUUUGAAAUCUGGCUCUUUCAGGGUCCGAGUUGUAAUUUGUAGAAGAUGCUUCGGGUGUGGCUCCGGUCUAAGUUCCUUGGAACAGGACGUCAUAGAGGGUGAGAAUCCCGUAUGUGACUGGGUGCCUUCGCUCAUGUGAAGCUCUUUCGACGAGUCGAGUUGUUUGGGAAUGCAGCUCAAAAUGGGUGGUAAAUUUCAUCUAAAGCUAAAUAUUGGCCAGAGACCGAUAGCGCACAAGUAGAGUGAUCGAAAGAUGAAAAGCACUUUGGAAAGAGAGUUAAACAGUACGUGAAAUUGUUGAAAGGGAAGCGCUUGCAACCAGACUUGCACGCGGUUGAUCAUCCGGUGUUCUCACCGGUGCACUCUGCCGCGUUCAGGCCAGCAUCGGUUUUGGUGGUUGGAUAAAGGCCUAGGGAAUGUAGCUUCUUUCGGGGAGUGUUAUAGCCCUAGGUGCAAUGCAGCCUACUGGGACCGAGGACCGCGCUUCGGCUAGGAUGCUGGCGUAAUGGUUGUAAGCGACCCGUCUUGAAACACGGACCAAGGAGUCUAACAUCUAUGCGAGUGUUUGGGUGUCAAACCCAUACGCGUAAUGAAAGUGAACGGAGGUGAGAACCCUUAAGGGUGCAUCAUCGACCGAUCCUGAUGUCUUCGGAUGGAUUUGAGUAAGAGCAUAGCUGUUGGGACCCGAAAGAUGGUGAACUAUGCGUGAAUAGGGUGAAGCCAGAGGAAACUCUGGUGGAGGCUCGCAGCGGUUCUGACGUGCAAAUCGAUCGUCAAAUUUGCGCAUAGGGGCGAAAGACUAAUCGAACCAUCUAGUAGCUGGUUCCUGCCGA